GGCGUAGGGCGCGAGCGUUGUCCGGAUUUAUUGGGCGUAAAGAGCUCGUAGGCGGUUUGUCGCGUCUGCCGUGAAAAGUCCGGGGCUCAACUCCGGAUCUGCGGUGGGUACGGGCAGACUAGAGUGAUGUAGGGGAGACUGGAAUUCCUGGUGUAGCGGUGAAAUGCGCAGAUAUCAGGAGGAACACCGGUGACGAAGGCGGGUCUCUGGGCCGUAACUGACGCUGAGGAGCGAAAGCGUGGGGAGCGAACAGG
rnacentral:rRNA from 1 species